GUUCACAUUCCGGUUUUCGCGAUUUUUUUGGUUUUCGCGACGGUUUCUCGCGGCGAAAACACGUUGCGCGUGCGUGUUUAUCCCCAUAGAAGAGGGGAAAAGUGUUUUGUGCAAAGAAUAAACGCCCAAACAAGGCAAAAAUUAGUAAAAAGUCCCCGGUGAAGAGGGGUAAAAACUAAAUCAAUGGCACCGAACAAGGCGAAGUGAUGUGUUUUCGGUUGUUUGCCUUCUGCUUCCAAGUGCCAGUGCGUGGGUGUUUUUCCAAAAGGCGCGGAAUUCUAUUCCGGCAAAAAUUAAGCUUUACACCGUCACGACUGAUUAUGGAACAGAAAGCAGAACUUCAGCGGAACGAUUUAUUACUCCGCCACUAAUGCGAAGCACGCAAAACGUUAACGAAGCAGCAACAUCCGCCAACAAACCCAAAAUUUCCUGGUUGACCUCCCCUGCUGUAUAUUUUUGGAUUAUAUGGAGUCGAGACCCCAGAUGGAGUAACCUUGUUCGGUAAACCUCCUUGUUUGAGCAUCUAUAACAGAGAUCUUCCUUAAUGGAACUCAACUUCCCAAGGCAGAUCUCCAUUUCUUCAGCAGCAUCCCCAUGAAACACGCGCAAGCGUUCCACCGGAGAAGACCGUUCUUCGGCCAACAGUCCCUGUAAACGACGCUGCCGCUGAACCCCAGAUGGAUCCGAAUCAGCCGAGAUGACAACAUUCCGCGAGCUUAACUCAAAAUCUAGCUCGUCGAAAUGCAAAUGGUCGACCCGCAUCAACGAAUAAGCUCUGUUGAGCUCUUCCACAAUCAUCGCCAUUCUCUCGAUUUUUCCGGAAAAUAACUCGAAAGCACAAAGCAUUCAGUAUCGACACGGAAUUUGAGCGGAAUUGAAAAAUGUUUCGAAUCGGAUCGGAAUAUUUUAUGGUUGGCAACCACCUUGACUGGAAAAGACUCAAGCUUUCCACAACUCGUCUGGCAGUUCCACCAAAACCAAUGCAAAAUCACCG